rnacentral:lncRNA from 1 species
GUUGAGAAGCAGAAGUCAGCAAAAGCAACUUCACAAUAACUCUAAAGCUAGUCAAAAGAAAACUAAGGAUCCCUUAAUCAAAGGGAUCCUUAUGACUUUGUAUCAGCAAUAUUAAAUAUCAUCUCCCAUCAAACACUAUAAAUGGGAGAAGUGUAUCAGUAGGAAAUAACAAGAAACAAUUACAAUCUUUAGCUUCUCUUUCUCUAUGCAUUAUGAUGAUACAAUGUUUCAACAUGGUAUCAGAGCAGGUUUAACCAUAGGAACUCAGAAACGAAUCAUCAUCGUUCAUAAUCCAAAACCAAAACAUUCCUAGCCAAUUCAAAUCAGUUUGUGGAGAAACUCACCGGCG